CUCCGGUCCCCUCGCAACGAUACCCUGUGAACCUGGUCAGGUCCGGAAGGAAGCAGCCACAGCAGGUGACUCGUGUGCCGGGGUGCGGCUGGAGAGG
rfam:Gallaecimonas xiamenensis 3-C-1 contig28, whole genome shotgun sequence.